CAGAAUAGUCUAGAACGACAAUAAAUACGCCGAAUGAAUGCCCAAUUAGAAUAUCUAAAAUCUGUCUUGUCAGCUAUCUAUCAUUUCUCUGUUCUUGUUUGAUGAUUUCAAUACUCAGGAAAGCCUUUUCUUUCAAAAAACUUAUCUUUUCUUUGAAGCUUUCUUCUCGUAUACCUUCUUCUCUGAAAACAUUUCUCAAUCUGGUUCACGCAUCCAGUCAACCUUCUUUUGAUUUUCGGCAUACUUAGGGACAUUCAUUUCUAGCAGCAAAGGCGGAGACGACCCCUUGAUGGAUCUCUGAGCAAGAUAAGAGCACUAUCCCUUAUUCAUUUCUGACCACAAUACCUAAAGCCGAAUGAUUAUAAUUCCUAUCAUACGCACUAUCGAAAUUGAUUUUAAUGAACUCACGAGAGUGCACAGCAGAAAUUGCGGUAUUGACAAGGGUAAACUGAUCAAACACCCAGGACAUUCACGAAAUAAAUGAUCAAUUGUUUUAGCUUUUUCUCCACAUCGAGGGUAACUUGUAUUGUUGGCUAAUUUUCUAUACUGCAUAUUGACCUUUGUAGGCAGAUAAUUCCAUGAAAAUCUCCAGAUUAUAAUCUUGAUUUUUAUUGAUAGAUUUAGGAGCCAAAGUUUUUUGUAAAAUUUCCAAUAGAUGGUUUGUAAAACGUAAGUUCUAGGAUUUUCAUCAGAAGUUUGUAAUAAUUUAUAAGUGCUACCAACCGAAAAUGCACCCGAAGAUUCACCUCCCCAGACCAGAAAAUCAUCGUGAGUUACUCGUGCCAAGGGGAUCCGGAGGAUUUCUCUAGCAUCUUAUUCUGAAAAGGUUUUAUCCCAAUACAUUCUUGGAGACCAUGCCCCAUCCUUCCACUUUCAAAACAGAAUGUCGGUAGUUUUUCAUACUUAAAAGAGAUCCAAGAUUUUCUUUGGUUGUCUUUUGAGACAAAAAUACCCCUACGAAGGGGUUUCUGCACAUCUAAUAUAAUUCUAAGAUGACAAAACUUACCAUUAA